GAGCGGGGGAGGACGGCCGCAGCUCCGGCCAGUCCCCUCGCUUGUAGGGACUCGCCUUCGGGACAGCCACCGCAGGCCUCUCGCUGCCCUCUGAGGGGAAGGGAGGAACGAAAUAGGUGGGAGAGAGACGCAGUGUGCUCUUCCGCCGCCCAAUCCUGCUGACGGUGCGCGGACCCUCCGCGCUCUUGUUCCCUUCCGCAGUCCGCGCCCUGAGCCCGGAGCCGGGGAGCUGUCCGUCCCAUUGGUUCUGAAUCAGCCGCUACGGAAACUCUCCAGAAGAAUGAUGCCACAGAAAAGAAAUAAUUUCCAGCAUAUCUACAUACUGUGCCAACCAGCCAAAAAGUUUGAAGAGGGUGGCUGCUUCUCAUUGUGGAGGGAAGAGAGGAAAUGGAGGAAAACAUCUGGAAAAUAAAAGGCAAAAAACUUCCACAUCUACCUGGCAACUUCCUACUUGAUGCUACCAUGCUGAUUCCACAUCAUUAACUUUUAUAAUUAAUGUAUUUGUGAGGAUAAUUACAAAACCAAUAUUACACUAAGAUCUUUUAAUUUUGAGUCAUUUGAAAACAUCUUCCAAGUAAUACAGAUUCAUAAUAUAAUUAAGUAAUUUUAGGUUAAUGUUGAGCUUUUGGUUUAUAGUCUUCUCAAUGAGCUCCAAAUUGCAAAAGCAAUUUAUUUGUGUAAUAGAUUCCUUAGGAUUUGAUUUGUUAAACCAGGGGUUUGUACUUUUAGUACCUGGAGUUAAUAGCUGUAUUUCUCCUUUCAUGGCAUAGUACACUUUUGUUGUAUGUAUCUCUACAUACAAAAGAAAAAUACUACCAUUUAAACUAUGAUACAAUGUUUCUUUUUCCCUAAUAAUUUAAAUUUAAACAUAUUGAAAAAAAAUAGUUGACAAU